AUGUUAAAAAUACACGAUGGAUACUUAAAUAUUGAUGUUUACCUUUUUUAUUUUGAUAUUUUAUGGUGUAGAUUAACCUAAGUUAAUAUAACAAUCAAAACAGUAGGGCAUGGAAUGGCAGAUCAACAUUGUUAAUUUUCGGAUAAACUUUCUGGAUUUUGCCAAGUGAAGAACUCCAAUGAUAUACAUGUAGGGGCAUGUGUCCAAAGCUGAUCCACAUCAUAACAUACUGAUUGGGAAUAAUGACAUAGUACCAAAAGAUGUGCUUAUACUGUAAUUAGCAGAUCUUCACAAAUGAACCUGGCAGAUCCUGGUGCAACCUUACCUUACCAUGUUUACAUCUAACCGUCAGUUUGAGCUGUGUGUGGGUGGUAACACGGACUAUAUACAUGUAUUGCCCAGUAAUUGUCUUGUGAUGGACCUUUUUAACAUAUCAAGUAUUUAAUUGAAGACUUAAGAGGUCAGUUUUCAUCAAAGAAUUUAAAAAUACAGUUUUUUUUUGUAAGGGUGAAUAUGUGGUUAUAAUGGCAUUGAUGUAUAUCUUGUGUCUGUUUUUUAAUCAGCCUUUCAUCCAUAAUUAUGAAUAUUAAGCAUGAUAAAGUAUUUUAAGGGAAUAUAAUGUAGAAAUGUUAUGUUGUUUCUGCACAAGCUUUUGAAUACAAGAAGUUCUAUGUUCACUCAGCACUGUUUACACAUUGUCAAUGAAUUUGCUUGUUUUAGUUUCCAAAUCUGUCUGUCUCUAGCUCCCUGUGAAUAAUUUACUUUUUUACAUUGCAUCCAUUGAUUUUAAAUGGGGUGUAUUAUGCACAUGUCACACUUUUUUUACAAAAACAUCAAGGUCAAAGGUAAAAUAUAUGGGUCAAAAUCAUAACUUUUGCAAUAUUGAAGAUAGCAACUUGAUAUUUGGCAUGCAUGUGUACCUCAUGGAGCUGCACAUUUUGAGUGGUGAAAGGACAAGGUCAUCCUUCAAGGUCAAAGGUCAAAUAUAUGGGUCAAAAUCGCUCAAAAAGGGACAUUGUGUAUUGUGUUUUACAAACACAUACCUUGUUAUGUUAUGUAAUGGCCUUUCAAUCAUCUUAUUUUUUUAUGAAAUACGCUGGAUUUGUCUUUUCAUUUCAUCCAUGAUAUCAUUAUGUUUUUUUUUGCCUGUUACAUUUUGCGGCCCAAUGUACGUGUUAAGCAGUUUAACCAUUUACAACGGCAUUUGUGGCGAGGCUUACAGUCAUAAGGUUGGUCAUUACAUGCACUGCAUAUCAUAAAAUCGUUUGGCUUUUAUUGACAAAAUUUGCGAAAACGGUGUUAAAGACUAAACAUCACAAGUGUCGCAACUUCGUCCCCACCUGGGAAUUCAGAGCGCAAAUUUCAGAUUAUAGUGUGUCAGAU